UGAGUGGUGUUGAACAGACCACGAGACAUCCUGAAAAUCGGUCUUCUCACAAAAAUGAUUUGCAGCGUCUGAACGGUUUGCCUUACAAAUUAAUUGAUAAAACCAAAAUCUUACCUUGACUUGGAAAGAGUUCCAGUGCUGUGUUGGAUCGUCAGCUGUAAGGACCGACGCCGGGGAUGAGAAGCAGGUACAGGAAGUCAAACAUUUAGUUGGAACAGACAUGGAACAAGACAGGAACAGCGUCAGCACACGGGGGUCAACAAGCGCCACAGACAAUCAGUCCAGAAGCAGGGAACAGAGCGGGGAACCAGACAGAUACAGGGAAGGUAAUGACAGAGUUGUAUCGCCUGGACCGACCCGGGGCACAUCGCCAUCAGGAUGAAUUCCAACAGGUGUGGUUCCCGUGGGGGAAAGAUUCUAUUGGGGAAGGUUCCUGCGGGGGUUGCAAUGGAAGCCAAGAAGGGGAGGAUGGCGUAGCAGACCAAAGGCUGUCCCCAAACCCUCUCAAACAAUUUUGCCAGAGUUUUGUUCAACAUUGAGAGCAGGUCACUGUUCCCCAUCCAGUGAGGUGUUCACAAUUCCUUGACACAAAUUAACCUCUAACCUCACAUUUGAAAUGGAAAAGAAAUAACUGAUGAUCUACUGAGCAAAGAGACCAGGAAGAGGAAAGCUGACAAAAAAGUUGCUCAAAGAGAUCAUAGAGAGAUCCCUGCUCUUUCCAAGACAGAAGUGGAAAGGAUGUCGAUUCACUCCGUGUACAGAUGGAAAACAGAUUCGUGAUCUCCUCGAGGCUGACCUCGGCACCAACAAAGAGGCAAGCAGGGGGUGAAUAUCAGGGUGAAAUAGGUGGGAACAGGAAGUCAAAAUGUUCAGAUCGUUAUGGAUGCGUUGGGUGGCCACCUGACUCUCAGGGCAGAACAGGAGAACUGACUGAAAAGAAAACAGAGGUGAAGAAUAAGUACCAAAAACAGCCUCCUUCCUGUGUUAAAAAAACGAACUAUUGCAUCCAGCUCAUAACAAGUAACAUGGAAAGCAGUGUGGGCAGAGCAAUGGAGGAGUGGUCCUACCUGUUCUAGUGGUCCAUCUUUUCAAUCACACAAACACGUUCCUUGACAUAGCUGAGCAAACAUGGCUGGCUGAGCAAACAAGGCUGGCUGAGGAAACAACGCUGGCUGAGGAAACAAGGCUGGCUGAGGAAAUCCCAAGGCUGGCUGAGGAAAUCCCAAGGCUGGCUGAGGAAAUCCCAAGGCUGGCUGAGGAAACAAGGCUGGCUGAGGAAACAAGGCUGGCUGAGGAAACCCCAAGGUUGGCUGAGGAAACAAGGCUGGCUGAGGAAAUCCCAAGGCUGGCUGAGGAAAUCCCAAGGCUGGCUGAGGAAAUCCCAAGGCUGGCUGAGGAAAUCCCAAGGCUGGCUGAGGAAAUCUCAAGGCUGGCUGAGGAAAUCCCAAGGCUGGCUGAGGAAAUCUCAAGGCUGGCUGAGGAAAUCCCAAGGCUGGCUGAGGAAAUCUCAAGGCUGGCUGAGGAAAUCCCAAGGCUGGCUGAGGAAAUCUCAAGAACAGGAAGAGCAUGAAGGUCUGAAACGAAAGGGACAAUGACAGAGUUUAUGUGAAGACUGAGGGAUGCAAACUGGCGAGGGCCCAAAAACACACACAAAACACACACAAAAAAUCCCUGCUAUGGGGUACAUGUAUAUACUGUAUAUAUAUAUUAAACAAGCUUUAAAAUGCAUAUUUCUAGUGACUUUUAGGCUGGAUCCCUUCUUGACAUGCAGGUGUUAACUCUCUAUAAACUAACCUGUACUAAU